AUUGAACGCUGGCGGCAUGCCUUACACAUGCAAGUCGAACGGCAGCACGGGAGCUUGCUCCUGGUGGCGAGUGGCGAACGGGUGAGUAAUACAUCGGAACGUACCCUGAAGUGGGGGAUAACGUAGCGAAAGUUACGCUAAUACCGCAUAUUCUGUGAGCAGGAAAGAGGGGGAUCGCAAGACCUCUUGCUUUAGGAGCGGCCGAUGUCGGAUUAGCUAGUUGGUGAGGUAAAGGCUCACCAAGCGACGAUCCGUAGCGGGUCUGAGAGGAUGAUCCGCCACACUGGGACUGAGACACGGCCCAGACUCCUACGGGAGGCAGCAGUGGGGAAUUUUGGACAAUGGGCGCAAGCCUGAUCCAGCCAUGCCGCGUGAGUGAAGAAGGCCU
rnacentral:rRNA from 1 species